AAAACCGAUAAGGUCUUCAAAUUAAUCAAGCUUCUUCUCGUUUCUCAACCCAGAAAACACAGAGCAAUCAAAAUCAAAAUCAAAAUCAUGGGGUUUUUCGUUUUUAUGCAUUUCUAACUGAUUAAAAUCACUCAUCAGUCUCAAGUCUCAACGAAUCCCAAAUCCCUCACCGAUUUCAUCAAUUUCGAUUUGAAAAGUUUUCUGCAACUCCAUAAGAGGAUUCGUGAAGAUAUUUAGGAUCGAUUUUUCAGCUUUGGUGAAUCUCUCUGAAAUUUGAAAUUUAAGGUACCAUUCACUUGUCUACAUCUAGAUUGAGUGUUGAGCUUUGUUUUUAUACGAUUUAGCUGCUACUUUGUUUCUUAUAUGUUCCCGUUUAAUACUUGUGUUCAAUGGAAAGUGAAAAAUGUUAGAUUAAGGGUGAUUUAAUCUGUCAUGGUUUUCUACCUGCGUAUACAAAUUGGUAUCUCCAUGGCGGAGAAAUAGAUUUGCAAGAGCAAACAGUGAGAUUAGAACCUGAAUCUGAUGGUGGUCACGCUGAAAACCCAAUUAUGAAUCUGCUUGAAGAUGUUUUCCCAGAUAUGAAUAAUAACUUUGAUGAAUCUACAAGUGUUCCUGUGGAGGAUCAUUCAAAGCAAAAGGAGGCAUUUGAUGAUUUGUUUUCAGACUGUAAUGAAGCUUUAUAUGAGGGGUGCCACACAUUCAGCAAGUUAUCAUUUAUGAUUAAGCUGUAUCACAUCAAGUGUAUGUCUAGGAUAAGUGACAAAGGAAUUUCACUGCUAAUUGAUCUCUUGAAGGAAGCUUUUGAGCAUGCAAAGCUGCCAGGUUCAUUUAAUGAUAUGAAGAAGAUAAUACAUAAGUUAGGAUUUAACUAUGAGACUAUUCAUGUGUGUCCCAAUGACUGCAUGUUGUAUUGGGGAGAUGAUGCAUCUAGAAACACAUGCAAAAUCUGUGAAAAAUCAAGGUGGAAGACAUCUACAACAGUUAAUGAUACAGAGGAGCAUAUAACAUCAAUGGCUUCAAGUUUAGAAAUAUAGAAAGGGAGCAAGACCUAAGAACUCAGAAUAGUGGAAUUUUUGUCUCAGCUGAAACCAUUAGUUAUGCUAGUUCACGUGAUCUUAAUCCUAGAGCCGGAGAUGUUUCGUACUAUGGGAAAUUAACUGAAAUUCUGGAAUUGAACUACUAUGACUCAUUUAGAGUUAUAUUAUUCAAAUGUAAAUGGGUUGAUACUCGUUAUGCUAGAGGGUAUAAGAAAGAUGAUUUUGGUCAUACUAUGGUAAAUUUCUCUCGUUUAAUUCACACUGGAAAUGGUGAAGAAGAUGAGCCUUAUGUCCUGGCUUCUCAGGCAAGAUUGGUUUACUAUGUGGAAGAUCCACAAGAAAAAGAAUGGAGUGUUGUUGUACACGUCCAACCAAGAGACUUGUAUGAUAUGGGUGAUCCUACUAUUUCAGAUGAAAUUCCUCCUGAAGUUAUCAUUGAAGAAUCUCAUCCUCCUGUUCAAAGUUCAAUGAUUAUAUCUGAUAAUAUUUCUAAUAUUAGAUUAGUGAGGCAAAUAGAAGAUCUUGAAAAUAUAAGAGGUUUCAGGUAUGUGGAUUACAUUAUAGCAACUCUAUGUGUUGUUUUCUUUACUAUGGUCUUUUGUUGAUUCAUAUCUUUUUCCAGUGGCAUAUCCUCAGGUGGGUGUUGACGUAAUGCUAGACUCAUGAUACGUGCUUAUCUCCAAUCCGAAUGCAGAUGUAAAUUGGUCACUUCUUUCAAAGACCACAGUUUAAAACCUUGAAGAGCAGAUGGGCAGAUUGUGAUUUCUUUUUGAGGAUGUUUAUAUUUUUCAGAACUAAGUUGUAUCAUGUAAACAAAGUUUAUCAAUGAAAGAAAGUUUCUAUACA